GAUGUCAAUUAGCUGUUGGUGCACUAGAUGCAUUAGUAGCGAAGCUAACGCGUGAAAUUGACGCCUGGGGAGUACGGUCGCAAGAUUAAAACUCAAAGGAAUUGACGGGGACCCGCACAAGCGGUGGAUGAUGUGGAUUAAUUCGAUGCAACGCGAAGAACCUUACCUGGUCUUGACAUGUACGGAAGAAUUUAGAGAUAGAUUUGUGCCUUCGGGAGCCGUAACACAGGUGCUGCAUGGCUGUCGUCAG
rnacentral:rRNA from 1 species